rnacentral:snRNA from 8 species
ACCCAGGGCGAGGCUCAGCCAUUGCACUCCGGCUGUGCUGACCCCUGCGAAUUUCCCAAAUGUGGAAAUCUCGAUUGCAUAAUUUAUGGUAGUGGGGGACGGCGUUCGCGCUCUCCCCUG